rnacentral:lncRNA from 1 species
UUUGCUUGGUAUUAAUUUGGAUCAUUUAAUAUAAUUAUAUUUGUAGGUUGGAGCGAGAGGUUGGUUAUAGAAGAAUUAAGGGAUGUAGAAAUAUAUCAAGAAUAAACUAGGAGGACGAAGGAAGAUGUGACUAGACAUGAAAUAACAUAACUUCAGCUUAUUGAGGAAAUUAUCCUAAAUACGAAAAUAUGAAAGCUGGAGAUUAUAUAUUAUAAUAGAAAAUAAG